UACAGAGGUGGCAAGCGUUGUUCGGAAUUACUGGGCGUAAAGGGCGCGUAGGCGGCCCACUAAGUCAGACGUGAAAUCCCCCGGCUUAACCUGGGAACUGCGUCUGAUACUGGAGGGCUUGAGUAUGGGAGAGGGAUGUAGAAUUCCAGGUGUAGCGGUGAAAUGCGUAGAUAUCUGGAGGAAUACCGGUGGCGAAGGCGGCAUCCUGGAACAUUACUGACGCUGAGGCGCGAAAGCGUGGGGAGCAAACAGG
rnacentral:rRNA from 1 species